rnacentral:lncRNA from 1 species
UAAAGGUAGCCCCAAAAGAGCCAGCAGUUAGGUUGAAGUGUUCAUUGUAGUGAGCCUGUGGCAUGAAGGUCCUCCCCAGUAAACAUCAGCCUGCAAACAGAAUCACUAGUGCUUAGCAACAGUGUCAUAGUGCCACUGGAAUGGUGGUAGAAGGAUCUCUUCACCCCUAGACUACCACGGCAGAUUGGAACCCAGGAAUCCGCAGAGAAAACAUAAGAUUUCUAUCUAGAAAAAGGGAGCAAAAGAGAAAGGAAGGGAGUGGAUAGGGCAGGACUGUGUACUUCAGGGGCCUGCAGUCUCUGCACCAGGACACCAGGAGACCUGACUCAGAGAAGAGACUAGAAACCAACAGAAAGAAACUAAACAGCUGUCUGAUACAUAUACAGAUACACACUUGUACAUGUGUAUCCCAAUUUAAAGCUAUACAGAAAAUUAACUGAGGAACGGACUAUGGGGUCGUUGAUCUUCCUUCUCAUCAAACUUGCAUCCCACCAACUUCGGGCCUGCUGCAGCUAAUUAUUCUUGAUUCUCCCAACCAAGAACACUCAGAAACCUGACCUGAUUACAACAUACCUCAAAAAUCCCAAGUGUACGUAUAUCUUCUGGGCUGGUGAACAUGGCCUCCAACUCUUCAAGUUUUAUGCACAGUAGUAGAGGCUAGAAGAGGAAGCUCAAUUUGAA